CUCGCGUGUCUAUUACCAGAAGCGACGGCAGGAUGAAGGUCAGACUAAAGAUCUUACCUGACGAGCCGAGAGGUGGUGCAUGGCGACCGUCAGCUACGUGGUGCGAACUGUCCGGUUAAGUCCGGUAACGAGCGAGACCCUUAUGAAUAGUUGCAACCGGUUUAGCGANAAACCGGGCACUCUAUUUGGACCGCCUCUGUUUAAAGAGGAGGAAGGAGGGGGCGACGAUACGUCAGUAUGCCCUGAAUCUCCCGUGGGCUACACGCGGCAUAACGAAAGGUCGAUACAAUGAGAUGCAAUGACCGAAAGGCAAAGACCCCAAAACCCCCUAAACCGAACCCUAAGUUCGGUAUUGAGGGGCUGAAACUCGCCCCUCAUGAAGAUGGGAUCCCUAGUAAUCGCUUGUCACUAUCGAGCGGUGAAUACGUCCCU
rnacentral:rRNA from 1 species